AGGCCACGUGAUGUUUAGAAAGACUAAAAAGUUGCAAUCUUCGAAUGGCAGCCCAUCUGUUUGGCUCACUCAGUUUCCAGUUCGGGCUCCACGCUUGAGUUCCACCUUGCAUGACGGGAAAACACGUGAGAUGGCAGUAAAAGAGCAAAUACAGCAAAUACAUAGAACGGCUCAUUCCACUUCACAUCACAGCCACUAUGGUUUCAUUUGCACCGGCCCUGAGGACACGACAGCUCUGAAGACACAAGAGUUGUAAGCAAGGAACUAAUGUCAUCAAAUAGUUCAAAUGAAAGCUUAAAAAAGCUGUUUCCUCUUCAUGUCUUUUUUCAAUGUUGUUGUGAACACAAAUCAAAUAAGACACAAACAUGACACACACAAGGUGGAGACGUCUGACCUUCCCACAUGUUGGAAAAAGCUGACCCCUGCACUUGAACAUGCUGCUGGACUGUAAAUAUUCAAACAAGGGCUUUGGGAGCGCUGGAGCCUUUCCCAGCUAAUUUGAGGCAGGAGGCGGGGUAUACCCUGAAUUGAUUACCAGCCAGUCGCAGACUUGCAUCUAAGUUGAAGGACCUUGACCUCUCCAAAUCCAUUUGCAAGUGGCUUCAUAACUUUCUGACAGCAAGACAGCUGAUGGUAAGAUGUUAGAAACCUCCACUCAUUUACCCCAGUUUUGAACACAGGUGGGGCACCUAACAAGGCACUUGGGCCAUCCGGAUGAAAGUUACUCAAGAGUUACUCGGUACCUGGAUAGCUUCCUAUACUUAGUACUUUCUUACUCUUACUCAAGUAA